rnacentral:rRNA from 1 species
UAGGGANUCUUCGGCAAUGGGGGCAACCCUGACCGAGCAACGCCGCGUGAGUGAAGAAGGUUUUCGGAUCGUAAAGCUCUGUUGUAAGUCAAGAACGAGUGUGAGAGUGGAAAGUUCACACUGUGACGGUAGCUUACCAGAAAGGGACGGCUAACUACGUGCCAGCAGCCGCGGUAAUACGUAGGUCCCGAGCGUUGUCCGGAUUUAUUGGGCGUAAAGCGAGCGCAGGCGGUUUGAUAAGUCUGAAGUUAAAGGCUGUGGCUCAACCAUAGUUCGCUUUGGAAACUGUCAAACUUGAGUGCAGAAGGGGAGAGUGGAAUUCCAUGUGUAGCGGUGAAAUGCGUAGAUAUAUGGAGGAACACCGGUGGCGAAAGCGGCUCUCUGGUCUGUAACUGACGCUGAGGCUCGAAAGCGUGGGGAGCGAACAGGAUUAGAUACCCUGGUAGUCCACGCCGUANCGAUGAGUGCUAGGUGUUGGAUCCUUUCCGGGAUUCAGUGCCGCAGCUAACGCAUUAAGCACUCCGCCUGGGGGAGUACNACCGCAAGGNUG